rnacentral:rRNA from 1 species
UACAGAGGGGGCAAGCGUUGUUCGGAAUUACUGGGCGUAAAGGGCGCGUAGGCGGCCUGUUAAGUCGAACGUGAAAUCCCCGGGCUCAACCCGGGAACUGCGUCCGAUACUGGCAGGCUUGAAUUCGGGAGAGGGAUGUGGAAUUCCAGGUGUAGCGGUGAAAUGCGCAGAUAUCAGGAGGAACACCGGUGGCGAAGGCGGGUCUCUGGGCUGACACUGACGCUCAUGCACGAAAGCGUGGGGAGCAAACAGG